UACGAAGGGGGCGAGCGUUGUUCGGAUUUACUGGGCGUAAAGGGCGCGCAGGCGGUUCUGUUUGUCGAGUGUGAAAGCCCCGGGCUCAACCUGGGAAUGGCGAUGGAUACUGGCUCGCUAGAGUGCGGUAGAGGAGAGUGGAAUUCCCGGUGUAGCAGUGAAAUGCGUAGAGAUCGGGAGGAACAUCAGUUGCGAAGGCGGCUCUCUGGACCAGCACUGACACUGAGGCACGAAAGCGUGGGGAGCAAACAGG
rnacentral:rRNA from 1 species